CAGUCGCCGCGGGAACACGAAGGGUGCAAGCGUUACUCGGAAUUACUGGGCGUAAAGCGUGUGUAGGUGGUUGUUUAAGUCCGUUGUGAAAGCCCUGGGCUCAACCUGGGAAUUGCAGUGGAUACUGGGUCACUAGAGUGUGGUAGAGGAUAGUGGAAUUUCCGGUGUAGCAAUGAAAUGCGUAGAGAUCGGAAGGAACAUCUGUGGCGAAGGCGACUAUCUGGGCCAACACUGACACUGAGGCACGAAAGCGUGGGGAGCAAACAGGAUUAGAUACCCGUGUAGUCCCUGUCUCUUAUAC
rnacentral:rRNA from 1 species